rnacentral:rRNA from 1 species
CAUGCAAGUCGAACGGCAGCGGACCUUCGGGUGCCGGCGAGUGGCGAACGGGUGAGUAAAGUAUCGGAACGUACCCUAGAGUGGGGGAUAACUCUCCGAUUUGAGGGCUAAUACCGCAUAUUCUAUGCGUAGGAAAGCAGGGGACCUUCGGGCCUUGUGCUCUAGGAGCGGCCGAUAUCAGAUUAGGUAGUUGGUGGGGUAAAGGCCUACCAAGCCGACGAUCUGUAGCGGGUCUGAGAGGAUGAUCCGCCACACUGGAACUGAGACACGGUCCAGACUCCUACGGGAGGCAGCAGUGGGGAAUUUUGGACAAUGGGCGCAAGCCUGAUCCAGCCAUGCCGCGUGAGUGAAGAAGGCCUUCGGGUUGUAAAGCUCUUUCGGCCGGGAAGAAAUCGCGUGGGCUAAUAUCCUGCGUGGAUGACGGUACCGGAAUAAGAAGCACCGGCUAACUACGUGCCAGCAGCCGCGGUAAUACGUAGGGUGCGAGCGUUAAUCGGAAUUACUGGGCGUAAAGCGUGCGCAGGCGGUUUUUUAAGAUAGGCGUGAAAUCCCCGGGCUCAACCUGGGAACUGCGCUUAUGACUGGAAGACUCGAGUAUGGCAGAGGGGGGUGGAAUUCCACGUGUAGCAGUGAAAUGCGUAGAGAUGUGGAGGAACACCGAUGGCGAAGGCAGCCCCCUGGNCCAAUACUGACGCUCAUGCACGAAAGCGUGGGGAGCAAACAGGAUUAGAUACCCUGGUAGUCCACGCCCUAAACGAUGUCAACUAGUUGUUGGGAGGGUAAAACCUUUUAGUAACGUAGCUAACGCGUGAAGUUGACCGCCUGGGGAGUACGGCCGCAAGGUUAAAACUCAAAGGAAUUGACGGGGACCCGCACAAGCGGUGGAUGAUGUGGAUUAAUUCGAUGCAACGCGAAAAACCUUACCUACCCUUGACAUGUUCAGAAGUCUUGAGAGAU